CAGCAGCCACGGUAAUACGUAGGGUGCAAGCGUUAAUCGGAAUUACUGGGCGUAAAGCGUGCGCAGGCGGUUAUAUAAGACAGAUGUGAAAUCCCCGGGCUCAACCUGGGAACUGCAUUUGUGACUGUAUAGCUAGAGUACGGCAGAGGGGGAUGGAAUUCCGCGUGUAGCAGUGAAAUGCGUAGAUAUGCGGAGGAACACCGAUGGCGAAGGCAAUCCCCUGGGCCUGUACUGACGCUCAUGCACGAAAGCGUGGGGAGCAAACAGGAUUAGAUACCCGCGUAGUCCCGUCUCUUAUACA
rnacentral:rRNA from 1 species